GCUGCGUGCUUAACACAUGCAAGUCGAACGCUGAAGCCCCAGCUUGCUGGGGUGGAUGAGUGGCGAACGGGUGAGUAACACGUGAGUAACCUGCCCCUGACUUCGGGAUAAGCCCGGGAAACUGGGUCUAAUACCGGAUAUGACCUGUCCUCGCAUGAGGGUGGGUGGAAAGUUUUUUCGGUUGGGGAUGGGCUCGCGGCCUAUCAGUUUGUUGGUGAGGUAAUGGCUCACCAAGACGACGACGGGUAGCCGGCCUGAGAGGGCGACCGGCCACACUGGGACUGAGACACGGCCCAGACUCCUACGGGAGGCAGCAGUGGGGAAUAUUGCACAAUGGGGGAAACCCUGAUGCAGCGACGCAGCGUGCGGGAUGACGGCCUUCGGGUUGUAAACCGCUUUCAGCAGGGAAGAAGCGAAAGUGACGGUACCUGCAGAAGAAGUACCGGCUAACUACGUGCCAGCAGCCGCGGUAAUACGUAGGGUACGAGCGUUGUCCGGAAUUAUUGGGCGUAAAGAGCUCGUAGGUGGUUGGUCACGUCUGCUGUGGAAACGCAACGCUUAACGUUGCGCGUGCAGUGGGUACGGGCUGACUAGAGUGCAGUAGGGGAGUCUGGAAUUCCUGGUGUAGCGGUGAAAUGCGCAGAUAUCAGGAGGAACACCGGUGGCGAAGGCGGGACUCUGGGCUGUAACUGACACUGAGGAGCGAAAGCAUGGGGAGCGAACAGGAUUAGAUACCCUGGUAGUCCAUGCCGUAAACGUUGGGCACUAGGUGUGGGGGACAUUCCACGUUCUCCGCGCCGUAGCUAACGCAUUAAGUGCCCCGCCUGGGGAGUACGGUCGCAAGGCUAAAACUCAAAGGAAUUGACGGGGGCCCGCACAAGCGGCGGAGCAUGCGGAUUAAUUCGAUGCAACGCGAAGAACCUUACCAAGGCUUGACAUACACCAGACCGGCUUGGAAACAGGUCUUCCCCUUUGGGGUUGGUGUACAGGUGGUGCAUGGAUUGUCGUCAGCUCGUGU
rnacentral:rRNA from 1 species